AACGAACGCUGGCGGCAUGCCUAACACAUGCAAGUCGAACGAGACCUUCGGGUCUUGUGGCGCACGGGUGCGUAACGCGUGGGAACCUGCCCUUAGGUUCGGAAUAACUCCCCGAAAGGGGUACUAAUACCGGAUAAUGUCUUCGGACCAAAGAUUUAUCGCCUUUGGAUGGGCCCGCGUUGGAUUAGCUAGUUGGUAGGGUAAAAGCCUACCAAGGCGACGAUCCAUAGCUGGUCUGAGAGGAUGAUCAGCCACACUGGGACUGAGACACGGCCCAGACUCCUACGGGAGGCAGCAGUGGGGAAUAGUGGACAAUGGGCGAAAGGCUGAUCCAGCAAUGCCGCGUGAGUGAUGAAGGCCUUAGGGUUGUAAAGCUCUUUUAACCGGGAUGAUAAUGACAGUACCGGGAGAAUAAGCUCCGGCUAACUCCGUG
rnacentral:rRNA from 1 species